AUACUUUCUCAUUCAAUUGAUCAACUUCUGCACCUGUGCCACAUUUUUUUCAACCGAUUUCCUCUGUCCUCCAUUUCCCCUCCGAUGAUCUCAGUCAAUCACUGAGGAUAAGAGCUAGUGUUGUAGACUAGACACACCCGUGUGCGUGCACUAAUAUCACGUUGAUCUGCAUCUAUCACUGCGGACUGUGCAUACUGAUGCACACACACACAAACACCUUUAUGUGGUCCUUUUAUCAAACAGUUGACCCGUGUCCUUUUUCCAACUGUACCGUCCUGGGAGCCGUUACCAUCUGCGUCAGCUCCUCUGUUUCCCCGCCCGCCUUUGUCCCGCCUCCCGCCGCUCUCGUGAGCCCAUCCACCUCCCCAUCACACCACCGCUCCAUGAUCUCCAUUUAGCCCACCCCCUGCUGAGUGUGAUGCCCAGACACAAGCAGCCCCCUAAUGCGUCUCUCCUGUUCUUCUUUUCUCUGUGUCUCUCUCCCUUAUUUACUUAUCUUCCUGACCUUCCAUCAGUCUCUCCUUCUUCGUUCUCUUCCUGAGUCCCCACCGCCCAGCCUUUCAUCUUCAGUCCACUUCUCGGCUUCCCUCUGUCAUCUUGAUCCGCCCUCCUCCACGCACACAGACACACACAUAAUCUCUGCUAUUCCCGGCUCUUCCUCAUUUAGAUAACACUAUCCUUUCCUGUAGCCGUGUGAUUCCAGGCCUUCUUCCUUAUCCGACCUUUACCAGAAUUUGCAUAGAGGACAUCUUUAAGGUUCCACAGCAAGAAGUUAUUUUUCAUACUGUUGGGCUUUGAGUAACGGCAAAUGCCAUGCCCCGGCCAUUUGUCAGUGUGUGUGUGUGUGUGUGUGUGUGUGUGUGUGUGUGUGUGUGUGUGUGUGUGUGUGUGUGUGUGUGUGUGUGUCCCUCUCUCUCUCUCUCUCUCUCUCUCUCUCUCUCUCUCUCUCUCUCGUGUUAUGUCGUGUUAAUUCAUCUCUCUCUCUCUCUCUCUCUCUCUCUCUCUCUCUCUCUCUCUCUCUCUCUCUCUCUCUCUCUCUCUCUCUCUCUCUCUCUCUCUCUCUCUCUCGUGUUAUGUCGUGUUAAUUCAUACUCUCUCUCUCUCUCUCUCUCUCUCUCUCUCUCUCUCUCUCUCUCUCUCUCUCUCUCUCUCCUCUUUCUCUAGCGUCAGAGGGAUCCAAACAGCUACAAGAAGCCCCGGGGACGCAAGGCCAUGCAGGUCCACUGGGGAGAGUGUCCCUGUUGCUUCUCCUCUGCGUCCCCCUCCUGCUGGCUGUCUGAACCCCCUGGUUCCCCUCUCCUCCUCACCUCUGCCCGUGUCUGUGUGGAGGAAGUAGAGCUACGGCACAGACAGACACCAGGCCCAAUGCCGUCCGUGCUGAGCUAUGGUGAACCCACACGUCUUACGGGACACCAGGACAACUGGGCUGGGGAGGGCUUGUGUCCCCCUGUGGAGGGGUGACUACUCAGGGAGCUGUGCUCAACCGUUUGGGGAACUCUGCAGGUUAUGUAGCUGUUCCCUUAUCCCCUGCCAUGAGUCUGGUCUUCACAGGUUCAAGCAGACUCAAAAACAUGAAUGGGUUUUUACGUCCCUGUACUCGUGUGAAGACAAGACUUUUCUUUUCCAAAAAGGGGUUUAAUAAUUAGUCUUUAAUGUGCUAUUCCUUUCCUUGCCUAAGCCAGUCUUUAGUAGUGUUCCCUCAGAGUGCCGCCCUGUAGCAGACCCGUCCUACUGAACACCACAUCCCACAUCCAGGCCCCUCACGAGACACUCAGUGAUAUGAUUUGUCUGCCCUCCGUCCCUCCCUGGACCUGAUGUACGGAUGUCUGGCCGCACACUAAGUUUAUAGCUGACUAUAAACUGAUGAAAUCACAUCCAAGAUGGGACUGGUGAGAAGUCUGUGGAAAAUACGAAAUUAUGAUUAUUCUGUAAUUUAUGGAAAAACCAAAACAUGUAGCGUGGGGUGCAGGGCUGUUGCGCCCCCUACUGGGAUUAAACUGGUCUCACUGGGAGUUGCCUGGGUUGGCCCAUGCAGAAAAUGGACACUACAACGACUUGCUCCUGUUAGUGGUUGGUCAGGGAGCUAAGAGCCUGGACCCAGGGCCUGGCUGGGGGCAGUUUGACUGGGGGCCCAGUGUGCUGCUUCACCAUCCGUUCCGUCUUCUGGGGGUUAAUGAGGGGUCUUGGCGGGUCGGGGGGCCAUGGCCAGGCUCACUGUGUACAGACAGCUGUAGUUUCAUCGUGCUAACGUGCCUACCAACCAACCAGGUGUUAUGCACCAUAUUUGAGAAUGUCUACUGAGCACUUAAUCACGCAAUAACUUUUUAAAUUAAACCAUAAAGCGAGAUGGAUGUAUUUUUUUCUUACAUGCAAGAUAUUUUAAUAUAAGGUUUCCUGCUUUAGAACUAUCUGGAAUCUUAAAAUUGUGAGGACAUUUUUUUGCUGGUGUAUAAUUAGUAGGCCUGUGUGGUAGAUAUUGGAUGACCAUGAAUUAUUGCAGAAAUCACAAGGUUUUUUUGUGUUUUUGCUAACAUAUUUUGGAUACAUUGUCCAUGUUGAUGUGUUUCUGAUUUAGUUUGGUUGAUAUAGUAUCCUACAUCAUUUAGUUUUUUUGUUAUUUUUAAGUUUCAAAUUCCAGAAUGUUCUUUUCCAAAUAAGAAAGGUCAUACAAUUUAGCUUUUUCUUAUAUAUGCAAAUAGGCACAAUAACAUUUGUAAUACAUGUCAUUUGAGAAAUCCUUAAUGCACACAUAUUGACUUGAUAUGUCACAUUUAUUGGCAUGAAAUGUUAUUCAAGUUGGUUUAAAAAAGUGUGAUGAUUUAACUCAAUGAUGUAUGAAUUAUUCUAAAUAGGAUUUAAAUGUUAGAAACUAUAGAACCUUGUUCAGCUUUUUUUAAUUUUACAUGACUCUCCCAGUUCACCUGACACUAUGUCUUCCUUCUGUGUCAUUUACAUUUGUUUGGUUUCACAUUGUAGUGAAAAAUUAUGCCUCUUCUAUGAAGAUUCAAGCCAAUCUGAGCCAUUGUUUUAUACAUGGCCUGUCAAAGCAAAAUAAAUGAUUGCAACAAA